rnacentral:rRNA from 1 species
GCAAUGCCGCGUGAGUGAAGAAGGCCUUCGGGUUGUAAAGCUCUUUUGUCAGGGAAGAAACGGGUGAGGCUAAUAUCCUUGCCUAAUGACGGUACCUGAAGAAUAAGCACCGGCUAACUACGUGCCAGCAGCCGCGGUAAUACGUAGGGUGCAAGCGUUAAUCGGAAUUACUGGGCGUAAAGCGUGCGCAGGCGGUUGUGCAAGACAGAUGUGAAAUCCCCGGGCUCAACCUGGGAAUUGCAUUUGUGACUGCACGGCUAGAGUGUGUCAGAGGGGGGUAGAAUUCCACGUGUAGCAGUGAAAUGCGUAGAUAUGUGGAGGAAUACCGAUGGCGAAGGCAGCCCCCUGGGAUAACACUGACGCUCAUGCACGAAAGCGUGGGGAGCAAACAGGAUUAGAUACCCUGGUAGUCCACGCCCUAAACGAUGUCUACUAGUUGUCGGGUCUUAAUUGACUUGGUAACGCAGCUAA